rnacentral:lncRNA from 1 species
CAUGUGAAAUAGAAACAGCAGCAAAGGAAAAAGAUGGGGAAGAGGAAAAAGAAUUCAAAGAUUUUGGUGCUACUUUAUCAAAUGAUCGGAUGGUUGAUCAUAUUUUGAUUUUGAUAGAAUUUUAGUAUGUUGUUUCUGACAUCGAGAGCUAUAAGUUGAAUGAUUUUGAUUUUUGAAAAUUUUUUUCAACAAGUAUUUCAAACAUCCAUAUAUUUGGUG